rnacentral:rRNA from 1 species
GUUGUAUGGUUAAGUGAUUAAGCGUAGACGGUGGAUGCCUUGGCAGUCAGAGGCGAUGAAGGACGUAUUAACUUGCGAUAAGCCCAGAUAAGGCAGUAAAAGCCAUUUGAGUCUGGGAUUUCCGAAUGGGGAAACCCACCUGCAUAAGCAGGUAUCUUAGCGUGAAUACAUAGCGCUAAGAGGCGAACUCGGGGAACUGAAACAUCUAAGUACCCGAAGGAAAAGAAAUCAAUUGAGAUUCCGGCAGUAGCGGCGAGCGAACCCGGAGCAGCCCUUAAGCGGCUUAGGCGUUAGGUGAACAGGUUGGAAAACCUGGCAAUAAAGGGUGAUAGCCCCGUAACCGACAGCGCCUUAGUCGUGAAAUCGAGUAGGACGGGACACGUGAUAUCUUGUCUGAACAUGGGGGGACCAUCCUCCAAGGCUAAAUACUCCUGACUGACCGAUAGUGAACCAGUACCGUGAGGGAAAGGCGAAAAGAACCCCUGUGAGGGGAGUGAAAUAGAACCUGAAACCGUCUACGUACAAGCAGUGGGAGCCUCCUUUGUGGGGUGACCGCGUACCUUUUGUAUAAUGGGUCAGCGACUUAAUGUUAGUAGCAAGGUUAACCGCAUAGGGGAGCCGUAGGGAAACCGAGUCUUAACUGGGCGU